GAACUGCAACAAGGGCUGCUCGUGUGCUUUACGUUAAGUGUAAUUAACUAUGAUUAAUUAAAACGUCUUAAUUGAGCAUAAUUGGGUAUGCUCAGUUAACAAGCUGAAGAUGCCUUCACAUCAGACUAACCAGAGGUGUUUUGGGAGAAACAACUAAUUAAGGUGUCAUCACGGCAUCACGGCAGGGCACAUGGGGGUUGCAAAGGACUGCAGCCAUCAAAUGAGGAGCUGAGGAGUCGUGUGUUUGUGGGACCUGAAGUUGAGGAAACUUGUGGGACCUUUGAAGCUUCAGCGCUCUUCAUUGUCAUCCCAGUGCCUUUCCUGGGAAUGGACGGUAAUGAGGAAUGAGGAAGUGAGGAGAGGGGCAGCACCGCCACCUGCCUGCCACAAACAUGGACCUGUCUGAUGCAGAAGGAUUGUGGCAUGGACAAACCCACUGCUACCCUUGGAGCUUUCCUGAAGUCAUCCAAAAUUUCCAACAGACCUUCAGCACUCAUUCUAAUGUUUCACUUGAGUCAGCCUCCCUGCCAAGAUAUUUUGGGUCAAACAGGCUCCUGCGGAUCUGCAGCAGAGGUUCAGAAUAUCGCCAAGGAGGAGCCCUCCUCUGUGAUGGUGUUCUUGGAUUUGUUUUUGAUAUGUUGUGAUUUCUUACAUGUUUUGUAAGAGUAUGUGUGAUUUGCGUGGAACUGAAGAAGGCUUGACAUUUUUUUCUGGCUUUAUAUGAAUGCUGGUUUUAUUUUUUGGGGGAAGAGGGAGAAAGAUAGCUUUGGCUGCAAAGUUUUCCUCUCAAACAUGAUAUUGGUUAGAACAAUGAACACAAACUCCCGCGUAUUUUAGCACAAUCAGGUUGAUACUAUUAUUAUUAUUACUGCUACUACUAUUAUUACUAGCAGUAUUACGAUUAUUACUAGUAAUAUUAUCAUUAUGGUAAAAAAUUCUUCCUAAAAUUAUUGCUCAAAGUGAUGCAAAGACAGCUUCUAUUAGUUUUGGAGACUACUGACACCUGCAAAGACACAUCUCACAUAGUCCUUGGUUGCUUAAUUGAUGAAACGAAGCUUUUCUUCUCAAGAGCAGAUUACCAAUUAGCGAAAGGUGUUAGUGCACUCGACUCCAGCAGCCACGCAUCCCCUGAACCCUUUUGAGCCAUAGCUGGGAGGAGGAGCUGUCAGGACAGACCUUUCCCAUGAACUUCCCCAGGCUGCACUUUUACCAAAACAAAAAGUCUCCGGAGGCCUGGUGGCAGCAGCUGCUUUCAGCCCACACAGCGCCAGGUGCUGUGCAAAGCAGCGUGCCCCGGUGCUGCUGUACCUGCACAAAGCACAGUGUGCAGGCAGGGUGUUCGCAGGCAGGCUUGUUUUAUCUUCCUUGGCAAACACAGCAGGCACGAGUUGGCUUGGAAGCUCUGUCUGCUCUGGCUGAAGUGGAAGAGCUAUAGCUGAAAAAAUCACUGCAGACAUUUAUUAAUCUAACACGGUGCAUUUUGCCAUGCCAUACAAAACUCACACAAAGACCCAAAGAGUUGCAGGAUUCCACACGGUCAGCAGUCUGCAAGCACAUCUAUUCUGCAAAAGCAAAGCUAUGAUCCUCGUCAUUAAUUUCCUCAUAAGGACAUUUUCCUGAAGACUGCAUUAAGGUUACUUUGAAACUGAGUAUUGCUGAAAACAAUACCAUGUUUAUUCUGUGAGGAAGAUGCUGAAACAUUUUUCUUUGGCAUCUUUCCAAAAAUCUUUGGAACUCUCAGUUCUAAAAUACUCUACAUGUAAAAUGUUGUAAUUUGAUAUAAAGUGAAAGCAAAUUGGAAAAGUAUUUUAAAAUUACGAUGUAAUUAUAUUGUUCCAUAACUGAAGGAGAUUACAGAAAGCAAAGAACAGGUCAAUUCAUGAAAAAACA